GCUCUUGUAGCUCAACGGGUAGAGCACUCGAUCAGGAGUGUUUGAUCGAGAUGGAUGUGGGUCCGAAUCCCAUCAAGGGCC
rfam:Gonium pectorale scaffold00059, whole genome shotgun sequence.